rnacentral:rRNA from 1 species
UACGUAGGGUGCAAGCGUUGUCCGGAAUUAUUGGGCGUAAAGGGCUCGUAGGCGGUCUGUCGCGUCGGUCGUGAAAACCUGCAGCUUAACUGUGGGCUUGCGGUCGAUACGGGCAGACUUGAGUUCGGUAGGGGAGACUGGAAUUCCUGGUGUAGCGGUGAAAUGCGCAGAUAUCAGGAGGAACACCGGUGGCGAAGGCGGGUCUCUGGGCCGAUACUGACGCUGAGGAGCGAAAGCGUGGGGAGCGAACAGG